CGGGCUGGACCAGCAGGUGAGCU
rnacentral:piRNA from 1 species